CCGAGAUAGGGUCCGUGUGGGCCCGACCUCCCAACCCUUUGCUUACUUGACCCUACGUUGCUUCGGCGGGCCCGCCUUUCACAGGCCGCCGGGGGACUGACUUCCCCUGGUCCGCGCCCGUCGAUGGCCUUCACCUUUAAAACUCCCUAGUAAAUCGCGUUUGUCUAAGUACCAAUAUGAAAUAAAGGAACA
rnacentral:misc_RNA from 1 species